UACAGAGGGGGCAAGCGUUGUUCGGAAUUACUGGGCGUAAAGGGCGCGUAGGCGGCCGCCUAAGUCAGACGUGAAAUCCCUCGGCUCAACCGGGGAACUGCGUCUGAUACUGGGUGGCUUGAAUCCGGGAGAGGGAUGCGGAAUUCCAGGUGUAGCGGUGAAAUGCGUAGAUAUCAAGUGGAACACCAGUGGCGAAGGCGAGUCUCUGGACAUUUCCUGACGCUGAGGCACGAAAGCCAGGGGAGCAAACGGG
rnacentral:rRNA from 1 species